rnacentral:rRNA from 1 species
CCUACGGGUGGCAGCAGUGAGGAAUAUUGGUCAAUGGACGCGAGUCUGAACCAGCCAAGUCGCGUGCAGGAAGACGGCCCUAUGAGUUGUAAACUUCUUUUGUACGGGGGUAAACGCAGAUACGUGUAUCUGUUUGAAAGUAUCGUACGAAUAAGGAUCGGCUAACUCCGUGCCAGCAGCCGCGGUAAUACGGAGGAUUCAAGCGUUAUCCGGAUUUAUUGGGUUUAAAGGGUGCGUAGGCGGUCGGUUAAGUUAGUUGUGAAAUUCCGAGGCUCAACUUCGGAAUUGCCUGUGAUACUGUUCGGCUUGAGAGUAGUUGCGGUAGGCGGAAUGUGUGGUGUAGCGGUGAAAUGCUUAGAGAUCAUACAGAACUCCGAUUGCGAAGGCAGCUUACCAAGCUACUUCUGACGUUGAGGCACGAAAGCGUGGGUAGCAAACAGGAUUAGAUACCCGGGUAGUC